CUGCAGUUGAUCAGUCUCAAAUAGGACGAAACGCGCGUCCUGAAU
rfam:Schistosoma rodhaini strain Burundi genome assembly, scaffold: SROB_scaffold0001474